rnacentral:lncRNA from 1 species
CAACCCCAGAAGACUUCAACAAUACCAUGAUAAACAACAGAAGUUUCUUCUAGUUCCCAUUGCCUUCGAACAUUGAUCCUUUGGGUAUUCUGGAGAAAAAUGGCAAUUGAGGCCUUCAAGGACUCCAUUUAGAAGACCUUUGGCUGCAAAACAGCAAGC